rnacentral:tRNA from 1 species
GUCAGGAUGGCCGAGUGGUUAAGGCGCCAGACUCAAGGCAAUUCCCUUGCCCGUAAUGCGGGUUAUGUGAGUGUUCUGGUCCACGUAUGUGGGCGUGGGUUCGAAUCCCACUCUUGACA